GAUGAACGCUGGCGGCGUGCUUAACACAUGCAAGUCGAGCGAAGCGAUUUUGAGGAAGCCUUCGGGUGGAAUUAAAAUUGACUUAGCGGCGGACGGGUGAGUAACGCGUGGGUAACCUGCCUCAUACAGGGGGAUAACAGUUAGAAAUGACUGCUAAUACCGCAUAAGCGCACAGUGCUGCAUAGCACAGUGUGAAAAACUCCGGUGGUAUGAGAUGGACCCGCGUCUGAUUAGGUAGUUGGUGAGGUAACGGCCCACCAAGCCGACGAUCAGUAGCCGACCUGAGAGGGUGACCGGCCACAUUGGGACUGAGACACGGCCCAAACUCCUACGGGAGGCAGCAGUGGGGAAUAUUGGACAAUGGGGGAAACCCUGAUCCAGCGACGCCGCGUGACUGAAGAAGUAUUUCGGUAUGUAAAGGUCUAUCAGCAGGGAAGAAAAUGACGGUACCUGACUAAGAAGCCCCGGCUAACUACGUGCCAGCAGCCGCGGUAA
rnacentral:rRNA from 1 species